rnacentral:rRNA from 1 species
GUGGUGUGAGAUGGAUCCGCGUCUGAUUAGCCAGUUGGCGGGGUAACGGCCCACCAAAGCGACGAUCAGUAGCCGACCUGAGAGGGUGACCGGCCACAUUGGGACUGAGACACGGCCCAAACUCCUACGGGAGGCAGCAGUGGGGAAUAUUGCACAAUGGGCGCAAGCCUGAUGCAGCGACGCCGCGUGAGUGAAGAAGUAUCUCGGUAUGUAAAGCUCUAUCAGCAGGGAAGAAAAUGACGGUACCUGACUAAGAAGCCCCGGCUAACUACGUGCCAGCAGCCGCGGUAAUACGUAGGGGGCAAGCGUUAUCCGGAUUUACUGGGUGUAAAGGGAGCGUAGACGGCGACGCAAGUCUGGAGUGAAAGCCCGGGGCCCAACCCCGGGACUGCUUUGGAAACUGUGCUGCUGGAGUGCAGGAGAGGUAAGUGGAAUUCCUAGUGUAGCGGUGAAAUGCGUAGAUAUUAGGAGGAACACCAGUGGCGAAGGCGGCUUACUGGACUGUAACUGACGUUGAGGCUCGAAAGCGUGGGGAGCAAACAGGAUUAGAUACCCUGGUAGUCCACGC